rnacentral:lncRNA from 1 species
AAAAAUUAACAAAGUAAAUUAAAAAAAUAAACCAAAACAACAUUCGCAACAAAACCCUCUCCCUCUCCUCUCCCUUUCUGCGCCUCUCCCUCUCUGCGUCUCCCUCUGCUUCAACACCUCUCUACACGCCCUCUCUCCUUGCCAUAAAAUUCUCACACUCCGACCAACGUCGCCGCCAAUUCGCUGGAAUCAUUGCAGAAUCCGCCGGAACCAUGGCUGAGAACGGUGUUGCAAUCCCAUCUCUGCUAGUGCUGCCGUGGCCCGUGAGCAUGGUGUCUCUAUGUUAUCUGACUCUCUCCUGGUAACGAAAACGGUUACACUGUUUUAGUAUUGAAAUUUGUUUUUUGUUUUUGUUUUUUUAUUCAAGUAAUUCAUAUGAGGUUUCAAUGUCAAUGAAUACUCUAGUGAUUGCUUUGUUUGCUGAAUUGGGUGUACCUGUGAUGAGUUUUAGGGUUAUUGCAAUAGAUAAUCAUUAUUAACUCUGUUAAUGUGAACUUAUGCCUGUGAUGUGUUUGUUUAAAUGUCUGUGAAGAAUUUGCUUGAUGCUGUUGGCCAUUUUUCGUCUAAUUUCUCCAAGAUGAUAAGUAGAUUUGUACUGAUGAAUCAAGUUGGCAUUGACAUUCGUUGCUUUGAACCCCAAUUUGAGUGAGCGUAUAACCAUUGGCUUGGCAUAUUGCUCAUGAAUAUUUUACACUCUGCCAUCAUACUCAAUUGUAUUGGUGAUCACCUUCACAUUGGUGGCUUAGUUUUAAUGCUGUAAUAUGGGGGACUAUUUUUGAUAUCUAAUUUACGUACAUUGAGCACAUGGAGCUUAGUGAGUUUAGAAUGAAUUACAAUACAUGUUACAGUGCUACAUUUCACCAUGAUUGACUGUGAAUAAAAACCAAACCUCAAGUUUGGGGGUGCCUUUGCAAAGACCGUUUAUAUGAAUAUGUUUUUUUGGGGUCAUUUUUGCAUUAUAUUAAUUGAGAUGUAUAUGGAUUUUAAAAUUUGUCUUCAAUCACCAUUGUCUUCAACCAAUCAACGUGUGCUUACUUAUGUGUCUGUGUGUUUAGUUUUAAAGAAUAUGCAUAAAUUUUAAAUUAAUGCAAUCAGAUGGACUUUCAAUAGCACAUUGCACACUAGCUAUUACUAAUUGAGGCAAACAUGUUCAUUUUAUGCUCAUUAUGCAGUUGUGUUUGUGAUUUGCUAACAUUUCAUUCUUUUUUUCCACCUUGACAGUGAAAUAGAAGAUACUGAUAAUGACAGUGAUGACAAUAAAGGUUGUGUUUGUGUUAUUCUUUGAACAUGUUCAAUCAACUUCUACUCUACAAUUUCAACAGCAACUAAAAUAAUGACAAGGGAGGCAAAACAAUUUAAUGGUUUUGAACUUCUACAUAUUCAUCAUAUGAAUAUGAAAUUGAAAAGGAGCUAUGUUGGGCUCAACAUUUAACAUUCAUUUACUUUGGUGCUGCUCAUCAGCUCUCCAAUCAAGAGUACUCCAAAAAAAAUUUGUACAUUAGAUGAUUAAUUUUCUAUUGUAAGAUAUCAAGCUAUUGUUUAUUUUGGAUAACUGUCAGUCUUAUGGAUAAUAAAAUUAUAAAAGAUGUAUAUGGAUUAGUGGAUGUUUUCUAAGGAUUUUACAUUAGUUUAACUUGGCAAGGGUAUUCCAGUUAAUAUUGUGUGUGUG